ensembl:lncRNA
CCCACAGGGCUCUCGCCAGGGCUCCAGCCCUGCUUCCUCUCCCCAUGGGCCGCAUUUCCUGUCUACGACCACCAGCGUGCUGGCCCCGCAGAGACGGAGCUGCUGUUUGGCUCCCAUGAACGCCUCCCCAGCGGGCAGGUGCUCCAGAAAGGCCUACGGGCCUGCCGAGUGAACGAGCGAGGGAAGUAGUGACGGGCGUGGAAAAUCUGAGGAGUGUGGGCUUCCAAAGCUUAUCUCCUCAGGCAUCCAUCUUCAGACCUGAUCAUCAUCCGCCUCUCACCGCUGCACAGACGGGGGGACUCACCGCAAUCUGGGGCGUGACGACCUUGUGAUGUGUCAUCUCUAAAGGGGAAGAGGUUUCUACUUGAAAGAGAAAUAAAAGCAGGCAGCCUUUAUGUGGGACACUCACCCGAAGCACACAGGGCCCGGCCACUUCCCUCAGGCCUUCUCCAUCUGGACCCUUCGCCCACCACCCUGCCGGAGGGGAUGCCAAAGCAUCCUGCCGGAUGGAGCUCCUUGCUCCUACGGGACACACGGAUGCUCUGGCCAGCGGACAAACACCCCUCGAGGGAAUGUUUGGAACCUCACACUGGGCUAUGCUGAAGAUGCAUUUGUAUUUAUUCCCGGCUGCGCUGGGCCUCCGCGGCAGCCUGGAGCUUUCUCUGGCUGCAGUGAGCAGGCGCUCCCGGCUAACGGCCGCGUGCGGGCUUCUCAUCGCUGGUUUCUCUCCUCGCAGAGCGUGGGCUCCAGGCACGUGGCCUUCAGCAGGUGCGGCUCCUGGAGUAGUUGUGGCUCACAGACUAGCUCUUCCCAGACCGGGGAUUGAACCUGUGUUUCCUACCUUCGCAGGUGAAUUCUUUCCCACCGGGCCACCAGGGAAGCCCAGGCUACAUGACCCAUGCUUUUGCAUUGCCUUUUAAGCCUGAAAUUUUCCCCUGGUCAAACUAUCAAAGACUACAAGCCUAGGACGUGAGAGAAGGAACCCCCAAGGUGGAGGAAGUGGGCUUGGAGGACCAGAAAAGAAGGGAAAAACAAAACAGCCGCAGAGGCGGGGUGGCCGCUCCCCUUCCUGUCACCUGGAGGAAAUAAAGGCUAAUUAAGGAGAUGCCGGAGUUUCCACGCUUCUGAUUCCUUUAUUGCGUGUUGCUCAGUUGUGUCCGACUCCUUGUGACCCUGUGGACGGCAGCACGCCAGGCCUCCCUGUCCGUCACCGUCUCCCGGAGCGUGAGUCCCAGGAGAGGAAGGAAGACCCUCCCCUGCCAGUCCCAACCCCGCUCCCACCCGAGGUCCAGGUGGGGGACCCGCUCCGCCGUCCUGUCCGAGCGGCUCCCCCCUCAGCAGCACAGCUGCAACGCUGUCCUCCUCCUGAGGACUGGGAGGCCAGUCCUGCUUCUUGCUGAUUUGACCCAUCUCUGAUGGCAGCUCCAUCCUCCUCUUCACCUCCAGACCAAAGCCACGGCCGACUCAGGAAUCCUGGCCCCAGGGAACACGCCGCACAUGAGCCCGGCCACCCUGGGUCCCGGGGAGACCCCGCUGACCUGUGACCUCUGCCCACAGCGGGAAGGCAGGGCUCACGUGACUCAGCGCCUCCUAUUCUGAGCCCCAGGGAGCCCCACGCCGAGAGGCUGGCCCACAAUUUCUGUGGCCCCCAAGUUCCUGGAGUGGGAGGUCCAGGCAUUUACCGAGGAUGCCCCGCUGUCCCCAGGGUUCUGAUUUCUGCUCACUGACCACUGCAAGAACACAGCUCCUCGCGGGAAGGAGGGGGCUUUGUGGAAUUCGCCCCAGCUACAGUCUCUCAGCAGCAAGGACCUCCACUUACCCGAUUGAAUCUGGCCCACCCGCCUCGGCUCCGUGACCGAGGACGCGGCACCUCCUCCCCCGAGGGUCGCCUCUGUGGGCUGCGGGGGGUGUGGGUCGGGAGGGGCCCCGUGAAAUGGGCAGCCGCGCCUCGGGCGGUCUGCAGUGCCCGCAGCACCAGGCCCUUAGGGACGGUGCCCAGGAAGCUCCAUCCUCAACGCUCCCAAGUGCUGCUGGUAUCUGUGAACCCAGAUCCGCUGAACUAAACAACAAGCUUAUUUCCCCUUCAAAAUUUAAGCUUCAGAUUAGCCCAUGUGUCCUAUGCUUCUUCAUGUACAACAA